rnacentral:lncRNA from 1 species
AUAUAAAAACACAAAAACAAUGCACCAAAAUACACACCCACUUUCCCGCCAAAUUGCAUUUCAGCCAAUAUUAUUUUUUGUCUUAUUUGCACGUGCUUUGUGCUGCAAAAUUGUGGCUGCAAUAAAUGACUCAAUAAAUUUUUUUACUGUUCAACAUAUCUUUUUCAGAUUAUUUUUGUACGAUUCCUGACAUAUCUAAUACUAUACAUAUAAUUAUUGUGGGGCUCAAUGACAACAAUUAAUGCAGAGCUCAUUAAUACAAAACUUAGCCACCAAGAUACAUUCUUUAUAUAUCUCUCACCAGCCAUUUUUCUUCUGCAUCUUCUUUUCUCCCUCACCGGCCACUUUUCUUUCGGCACUAUCUUUGCUUCACCUUGCUUUCUUGCUUCUCUUUCUUUUUCCAUUUUUCUUUCGGCACUUUCUUGCUUCAAUGUCAGCACUCUUUCUAUUUUGCUUCUCUUUCUUAUCUUUCUGUUCUUGCUUCUCUUUCUUUCCUCUUUUUUCUUUGUCAGCUUCUUGCACCUUCUUUUCUAUAUUUUAAUGAGCAGCAGCUUCUUUUUCUAUCUGUAAUGUCGGCAUAUUCUUGCUCUUUUCUGUAAGCUUCUUGCUUCCAAUUUUUAUAUUUUUUUUAUUUCUACAUAAACUUUUCAUUUCUACUCUAAGCUUCUUUCUCACAACUUCUUACAUCAUUUUCUUUAUUUUCUUUCUUUUUUAUAUUUUAGCUUUUUUUGUUUCUAUUUUAUAUGUUUCUUUCUAUUUUACAUAUUCGUUCUUUUCUUCCUUAUAUCUUCAGUUUAAUUUUCCAUCCUAUUUUAGGUGUUUAUUUCUGAUUAACUACAACUUUAGAUUCUUUCUUUCUUUAUUUUUUUUAUAUCUUCAACUAUCUUUUCUUCCUAUUUUUAUGUGUUUAUUUCAGUUUUACAUCUUUAGAUUUUUUCCCCCUAUUUUCUGCACUGCUAAACAAAAAUAGAGCAAAACAUUACUAUAAUCCCAUAUACAACAAACAGGUUUAUGAUAAUGACGAAAGUGCAAAACACGUUUGAAAUAUGAAUAAACAUGCAAAAGAAACAACAGGUUAUCUGAAUAUGAAAUUUCGAAGAGUUUACAUGAUAUAUGCUAAAUAAGGUUUAAGUAACUUACUCAGUAAAACAAAGGCAGAUUUCGGAGGUAGCAAAAAAGUUUGUUCUUAUUCUUAAUCAAAAAUAAUUUCAAAGAGGCAGCAAAUAUUUCAAAUGGAUUUGUGUUAGCAACAAGUAAUGAUUUUUAGUUCUUCAUAUGUGCUGCCUCUUUGAUUUUUUUUGAAACAGCAAAGUACACAAAAUUCCUGCAUUUUCUAUGAAACACGAAAAGCAAGAGCAAAUAGAUCUACAGAGAUCUAAAAAACGACAAGUAACAGUUUCAUGUGUAGAUAUUCAGAGAUCUACGAAAAUGAAAAUCUGAAAAACAAUAAACUAAUAAUGCGAAAAAAAAAAUAAAGAUGUCUGUAUAGGAAAAAAAAAGAAAAGUGAAGCAAUAUCAUCAAAAAUACCUAAUCGUCUCAAAUAAAUUUGUGCCUUGGGUUUUUAAAGAACAAAAUGAACAAAAACAUUGGAGCAUAUGCAGACGAAAAUUUGUUGCUAUUGUUUAAAUGAACAAAAACGAUACUUCAGCAAGAAAAAUUAAACAUGGAGAAAAUUAAAAAAUUAAAAAUUAAAAAAUGAAAAACUAAUAAACGAAAAAAAAACUAGAUCUUACUCGGUGUUAAAAAAAACGAAUCUGCAAGCAAAAAAAUUCAAAAUUUAAUAUGGAGAAGUAGGCCGAGAUCUGGAGGCUAGGGCUUGGACGACGGCGGCGGCGUAUCUGUGCAGACGGAGGCAGCGGCGUGGAGCAGCGUCAGUGCCUAGAUGUGAGGGCGGAGUUGGUGGUUUAGGGAUCUAGGGCUUUUGGACGGCGGCUUUGUAGUGAUAUGGUUGCAGGUUUUUCGCCGGCAGAGGGUGAGGCAGAGGGAGAGAGAAGAGGAUGGAGAGCAUCAGCGACCGUGGCUUCUCGCCGGCAGCGGCGCAUGUGGAAGAAAGAGGAGAGUUUGGACUGGGAGAAGAAACGAGACAGAAGAGAGAGAGGCGGCUCUGAAGAGAAGAUGAGUAUUUGAGUAGUAUUUUAGGGUUUAAAAGUGUAGAUGGGUUGUAUUUAAUAUAUUUUAUUUUAUUUUAAUUUGUUGGGUUGUAUUUAUUUAAUUGGACUGAAUUUAUUGUACUUAUUUAAUUGGGCUGUAUUUAUUUAAUUGUUCUAUUAUUAAUUCUCCUUUCAGAAAAUAAAUCAUUAUUUAUAAUAUAUAUACAUAUAUACGAAUUAAAUAUUUUUACUUAAUAGUACUCCCUCCGUCCACGAAAUGAGUACCCAUAUUUCCUUUUUCGUCCGUCCACGAAAUGAGUACCCAUUUCCCUUUUUGGCAAGUGUACCCCACACAUCUCUUU